rnacentral:rRNA from 3 species
GGGUUGUGAGGUUAAGCGACUAAGCGUACACGGUGGAUGCCCUGGCAGUCAGAGGCGAUGAAGGACGUGCUAAUCUGCGAUAAGCGCCGGUAAGGUGAUAUGAACCGUUAUAACCGGCGAUUUCCGAAUGGGGAAACCCAGUGUGAUUCGUCACACUAUCAUUAACUGAAUCCAUAGGUUAAUGAGGCGAACCGGGGGAACUGAAACAUCUAAGUACCCCGAGGAAAAGAAAUCAA